CCCUGACAGCUCAAUUGUUAAAAGACUCUGCCUGCAAUGCAGGAGACUCUGGUUUGAUUCCUGGGUCAGGAA
rnacentral:tRNA from 1 species